AGCAGCUAUUUUAACUCAGGCCCUGAGAGAGAGAAGCAGCAGUCUGAGCUGAGCAGGUCAGGAGGAAACAUCAGGCUGAGCUGCUCAGAACACCCUGGAGGAGCUUAACAGUGGAUUCCUGGAGGACCUGCUGUAUGAUCUUUCCAGGUAUAGCGGUCAGGCUGACUGAUUCAUAAUUCCCUGGAUCCUCCUCCUUCCCUUUCUUAAAGUCACAAGAAUACAUCGAUUACAAGCUCGAUACACAUCCCAUUCUCAUUUCCUCCGAAGGAAACUGAAGCUUAUCAUUUGGAAAGGACCCUGUGGUUGGGUGGUAGGCACUGUCCCAGGGAACUCAUGCCUUCACUGAAAGCUACUCUCCACUGUGCCUGCUACACAAGGAUCCUCUCCCUUGAGAAAUCAGCAUUAGGACUACAUCUGGCAAGGAGAGGAGUACCCAGAAACCAGGAAACAAUAAAGUAAAGGACACAACACCAUACAAAUCCCUAUUAAAGGCAAGACACAGAGGGAAAGCUUUACUGAAAAGAGGAAAAUGAAGAGGAGGAGAAGGAAAGGUUUAAAGCUAACUAAGCAUUAAUAAA